CCUAGCUGCUACGCUAGCGUCAUAGUUCUAUUGGAUAGCAAUUAGGUAGAACGGGUCACGUCAGCAUCUGUCGUAACGUUGCUGCUGUAGAACUUGAAAACUGAUUGCACCUAUUCUCGGUCACAGAGUAUCAUAUCUCGGCUCAUUAUAUGACUUCCUUUCGCCAAAAUGUUGGUUUUGUCUUGUCAACCUCUACUCUCGCAGACAACGAAGAAGACGGAUGACUCACGGGACAUAAUCUCGGUCACCUGAUCUCGAGUGAUUUUCUCUCUUCAGACGCAGAUCUGAGGCGUUCUUUUCGCUCAUGUUAUAGUCAUCACCGCUGGCUACUAGACCUACGGGGUGAUGUUAGUGGUCAUCGUACUGUUGCUGCGGCAGAACGUGAAAUCUGAGAGACAAAUAGUUGGACAUCCGGGAUCAUAUCUCGGUCAGUCGCUUUCAUCGCAUUUCUACAAGACGAAUUGAGACGUUAGUCAUUUCUGUUGAAAGGGCGGUGAGAAAGGUGAUCGACCUACGGGACAUAAUCUCGGUCACAGUAUGAGCGCACUUCUUGGGUUCUACAGCUUUCAGGUAAGUGGUCUUACCUUCAUUGAGCAUUGUGCAUACGGUCACAGUCGACUAAGGCUGAUUGAAAGUGUUUUGUAGUGAAUUUGUAGAACUAUAGCAGAUUCUAGUAAUUUGACUGUGUUGGCAAACGUUAGUUGUUCUGUCUGAACUAUGUUUUUCUAAUUGAUCAUCAUGGAGCUAGACAUUGAAUCCAUUCUGGCACAAGUUGAAUAUCACAAGAUGCCUUUUCAGUAUGCCAGGACUCUGCAUACUUGUAAACUGUGUACGUACUACGAUUUUGUUGAUUGUAAGAUUUUAGCUACAUCAGUUAUUAUCAACAACAUGCACUGCUUAGUUCUAUACACAGAAGGGUCGUUGGAUAUCUUCACUGGACUAAUUAU